GAGGACCGAGUGCCGCUCACGCC
rnacentral:siRNA from 1 species